GUUUGAGUCCGAACUGGCGACAAACUCCCCCCUCUUUCUCGGUCUCUCCCCCUCACUUUCUGUCUCUCUUAUUAACCUCUUCCUACCCAGAAAUGGGUCCUGACGCCCGUGACGACAUACUGGAUGUGUAGUUGCAUACAUUUGUGCACAUCAUUCGGGCAUGUAUGGUGCAUUGCUUAAAGGGCUUGAACCUCGCUCGGCGUGGCCAUCGUUGUUCUCCGAGAUGACAUUGGGUCACACAGCAAGGCCCACAUAUUGUGGUUCUGGACUUGUUCACCGGGCUGGGGUCCUAUUUGACCGACAACAGUGGUUCAGCAAUCAUGCAUGUCACCUGCCCAAGACAAUGAGCGAUGGCCCACCCUGUUCAGUGGUAUACAGUUAAAGCUUUCACACAUUUCACCAGUUCUUCAGCGGCUCCUGUAACAGUCUCUGCAGGGAUAUCAAAACCUAUUUAUACAAGCAGCUGGAGGAAUCCAUUGAGCCAGUGUAGGUUUCCAACUGAAAGUCCGUAGUUCCUCCAAGUUUGGAAAUGCCAAACAUAGAGGAACUGACUGCUCACUUCAACAGGUUGAAUCACAAGAACACAACAACCAUUAACAGUGAAGAGAGAGGUUAUGUUUUCUAUGCAAAAAGA